CACACACACAGACAGUUGUGGUGUUUGCAUAUGUGUGCUGUGUCAGUGCUGCACACACUUUAAGAGCUGUAGUGCUGAUCAGAGUGUGUUCAGUCCUUUCAGAGCCACUGACACGCAGCACAAUGAUGAUGGUACUGAUUCUACUGCUGGGGACACUGGGACUCCUCGCUCACCAGUCCUUUGGGGAAAUCGUCCUGACUCAGUCUCCAGGAACUCAGUCUGUUUCUCCAGGACAAUCUGUUACUCUCACCUGUACAACCAGUCAGAGUGUUUACAGUAACCUCCACUGGUACCUGCAGAAACCUGGAGAAGCUCCUAAACUCCUGAUCUAUGCUGCAACUUAUCGUCAGUCUGGGAUUCCAGAUCGUUUCAGUGGCAGUGGAUCUGGAACACAAUUUAGUCUAAAAAUCUCUGGAGUUCAGACUGAAGAUGCAGGAGAUUAUUACUGUCAGCAGGGUAACAGCCUUCCGUACACACAGUGUUAUAGCGCCGUACAAAAACCUCCCUCAGCUGUAGAGGAAGUGCUCUAAGUCAGAAACACACACUGAUCUGAGAACAGCUGCAGAUCUGCCAAAGCUGCACUCCACUGAACAUCAUCAAACGUCUUCAUGUUUAAAUAAUAAUCAUUCCUGAGAAGCAGAAAACUCUAAAUCAGCUGUUCCUUCUGUGAUGAGAAAUCAUCUGAUGUGUAUAAUGGUGUAUGAUGAUGAUUUCCACCUUCUGCUAAGAGGAGCAGCGUCUACUACACACUCCUGUAACACACACUGUAGUGCAGGAGCUUUCAAUAAGACUCAACAUUCAUUUCUAUAUUAUUCUGUAUUUUAAUCAGAAUUCUCUCAUCAUCUGUAAAGUUUAAGCACAAAACACUUUCCUUUUCUCCUCCAUAUAAAUAAACCUGAAGUGACCUGAAGACCUUAAACACACAUGACCUGAGUUCCUGCUGAAGGAGAAAAUCACCACAAUAAAACAUAAAGCUUCAUUUGACUGAAGCUAAAUGUGAAGCCAGUGUGAUGCAGGUCUACGUGAUGAUGUAAUGACUGUAAUGAUGAUGUCACUGUCAUUACAAUAUUAGUCAGUACAUUCUCUCUGUACAUUUUACAAAGCAGAGGCAGACUGG